UUUCCCUUACGGGUUGCCACAACGAUGCGUCACACUGACGAUUCGCAUGUUGACAUUUGGCACGUGCUUUACGCAGGAUGCCCUUCUUGACUCGAAGUCGCAGCUGCGCCUAGCCACUAGUCUAUUGGGGAUACAUUUGUUUCAAUACAUUCCUUCUAAAUCAAAUUCAUGGUAGUUUUAUAGUGAAAAUUAGAAGCGGAUAUAUUGCUCUCGACGUGAUACGGUUUGAGCUGCUUUGGCUCGAAAACAGUCGGUCCCGUAAUUCCUUAUCAAAGGUAAAAAAAAACUGUUUUUGUGGUAAUGUACGAACUGGUUUGUUUCACCAUUUAAUUUUGAGUUUACGUUAGUUGUCUGUCUAGUCAGUAAAAAUCGGUUCGUUUGUCUAGUUUAUUUAACCACCAUGCUAAUAUUAGCAUGAUUACCCAUCUAGUUCGCUACUUAGCAGCCUAACAAGCUACAGUUAGACGAAAAUGUCAUUUUAAAAUGUGGCUUGCUAUAGCCUGCUUGAUCCCUUUUCAGUUUGUGUUGGCCGGUGUUUCAUUGUAACUUCAGUAUAGCUGUCAUCUGUUAGCACUCUACUAGUAGCUCAAUGUUAAUGUGUGGAAAUAAGGGUUAUUGUAGCCUAAAUGAUGCUGUACCCACUUCAUUUCAGCAAAUAAUCACACGUGCUCUCUUUAAACGGAUCGUAGAAACUUGUAUUAUCUGCUCACGUGUGUAAAGCUUUUUAUUAAUAAACAGAAUAUCAUGAACCAGGAGAAGCUCGCCAAAAUUCAGGCACAAGUCCGGAUAGGUGGAAAGGUACAGUCUACGUGUUGUCUGAAUUUCUAAUACAAGUUUAACAGUAGCUGUUGUGUGUUCAUAGCAUUUUAUUUUGUAACUCAGUUCACUAUUGAAGACCAUGUGAAACUGUAAGAGGAACCUAGUAAGUGGAUAUUGAGUUACGAUUGUUUGGUCAAGCUGUAUCGCCAAGGGAACAGCCCGCAGGAAGAAGAAGGUUGUUCACAAAACAGCAACAGCUGAUGACAAAAAACUGCAGGGCUCACUGAAGAAGAUGGCAGUGCACAACAUCACAGGGAUAGAAGAGGUUUUUCCUCUCAGGUCAAUAUAAUAAGAGACGAUGGGACAGUGAUCCACUUCAACAACCCCAAAGUGCAGGGAUCUCUGUCCACCAACACCUUCGCCAUCAUGGGCCACAUCGAGAACAAGCAGCUGUCAGAGAUGCUGCCGGGCAUCCUGAGCCAGCUGGGAGCCGACUACCUCAGCAGCCUGCGCAAGUUGGUUGGGCAGUUCCCACGGGAAUGUGAGUACACACACAAGGUUAAACACUCGGUCACAGUGUUGGGGUGAGUAUUGGGUCCAAUACAAGAUGCUUUUUUUUCACUGCAGGUUAGUUUAGAAAAAUUAGGAUUUGUUAUAUUUUCAAGGACAACACAGUCACAUGUUCACAACAUCACAUAUUCUUUGUGAAUGGAAAACAUCUAACUUUUUAAGUUGCAUUCUCUGUGUAUUAAAAAUGUCUUAAAUUAAAUUUCUUGAACACUGCUUAAGCCCUUUGGUUGAUUCCUAAAUUAAAAUAUGCUGCCUUCAACAUACCAGUGUACUUUCAGAUUUGUGUGGCAGCGUCACAGAGCAGCACUUUGUUUAGAAUCACUGCAGAGCCAGUGGAGAUGAAACUUGUAAAUGUAACAUAGCAAAACAAGUUGUGGCAGUGAGGGCUGCAGGGAAACGGCAACAGAAAAGAAUAUAAACAUUUAGACAGUGAUUGUUCAAAAGGGUGCAGAUUUCUUCCAGUUGAAGUCCAGCACACCAGCGGAGCAUCUAGAUGGCCCGGUUUACUCAGCUGGCCCCAGUGUCUGCAUGUAGAUAAACAAUAAACCCAGUAAAGGAAACAUAGGGGACAGGAGCAGCUCUUCCACAUGGCAACACAGCUAAUUAUGUAACAAAACAUUGUGCAGUCUAAAAUAAAGGCAGUACCUAACAAGUCUUCACCACAAGGUCAGUUCUAGGUGUUUGAUUGCUCUUUUCUGAUCAUAGAUGUUCCAGUUUUUGUUGCUGAGCACAUUGUGUCCUUUUUGAGCAGCACCUUUUUAUUUUAAUGUUUUGUCACAGAGUUUAGCAGACUAAGAAACAAAUAAUUCACAUCUUGAGCCAGUGUGUGAAGGUAAGUCAUGAAAAUUAAUUCCUAAUGGAAAAAACACCAUUUUUUGAAGGCAUUAUUUAGUGGAGAAACAGGCAGACUAACAAUAAGUCAACAGUAGUUCACUUCUUUUUUGCUUUUUUUUUUUUUUUCUCCUUGAUACAUUUUGCAGCAGGGGACAUGAAAGUAGGCAAGGAGGAAAUCACAGAAGAGGAGGAUGACAAUGUUCCAGAUCUUGUGGAGAACUUUGAUGAAGCCUCCAAAAACGAAGGAAACUGAGUCUUUUUUUUUUUCUUUAAGCAUCAACUUUUUUAAUCUUUUGCCUCUUCUGGAGUCACAAAGGGCAUUUCCUCUUGUGGAAAAACAGUUGUUAAAGGUGCAGUGCAUCACCUCCAGGGAUGGGAACCACUUUGGUUCAGGCUGCACACCAGCACAACAAUAAAAUGCAGGACACAGUAGGUUUUGACUUCAGAAGGCGGUGAUAUUUUAGACGCACUGAGAAACGAGGAUCUGUACAAACCUUGGCGCCGUGCAGACUUUCCACAUGGUUAAACGUAACUUAAUAGAUUUCAGUUAGAGUGAACAAUUGAAUCACUUCUAAUAGUGGAAAUGAAUGAAUUUAUAAAAUAUGGCUGGGAUAUCAGUGUUUCUCUUAUUUAU